rnacentral:rRNA from 1 species
GUAAAGCGUCUGUAGGUGGUUUAUUAAGUCUGUUGUUAAAAACUGAAGCUCAACUUCAGGGGUGCGACGGAAACUGAUAAACUUGAGUAUGGUAGGGGUAGGAGGAAUUUCUAGUGUAGCGGUGAAAUGCGUAGAUAUCAGAAGGAACAUCAGUGGCGAAGGCGACUCCCUGGCCAAAGACUGACGCUCAUGUGCGAAAGUGUGGGUAGCGAACAGGAUUAGAUACCCUGGUAGUCCACACCGUAAACGCUGUCUACUAGCUGUUUGUGGAUUUAAUCCGUGGGUAGCGAAGCUAACGCGAUAAGUAGACCGCCUGGGGAGUACGGCCGCAAGGUUAAAACUCAAAUGAAUUGACGGGGGCCCGCACAAGCGGUGGAGCAUGUGGUUUAAUUCGAUUCAACGCGAAGAACCUUACCUACUCUUGACAUACUAGAAACUUUUCAGAGAUGAAUUGGUGCCUUCGGGAAUCUAGAUACAGGUGCUGCAUGGCUGUCGUCAGCUCGUGUCGUGAGAUGUUGGGUUAAGUCCCGCAACGAGCGCAACCCU